rnacentral:rRNA from 1 species
UACGUAGGGAGCAAGCGUUGUUCGGAUUUACUGGGCGUAAAGGGCGCGUAGGCGGGAUGGCAAGUCGGUCGUGAAAUCCCUCGGCUCAACUGAGGAUCGUCGAUCGAUACUGCCGUUCUUGAGGAUUGCAGAGGAGACUGGAAUUCCCGGCGUAGCGGUGAAAUGUGUAGAGAUCGGGAGGAACACCGGUGGCGAAGGCGGGUCUCUGGGCAAUUCCUGACGCUGAGGCGCGAAAGCGUGGGGAGCAAACGGG